UCGCGGGAUGGAGCAGUCUGGUAGCUCGUCGGGCUCAUAACCCGAAGGUCGUCGGUUCAAAUCCGGCUCCCGCAACCAG
rnacentral:tRNA from 1 species